CAGGGAAAUGGUCCCUUAAACAAGAGCCAAGUGGAGGGAAUAUUCUGUAAUCUGCAGUAAUUUGCCUAUUUUCUAGGAAAUACAAGCUAGGUGAGUGUUGGCACAUUCAGGUCAGAGAGGCUUGAAGUACAAUACGGAAGAAAACUAAGGAUGGCUGGGAUGGGAGGAAUCACGGAUGACUUUUCUCACAUUUCAAACAGAAAUCACAUACAAAGUAGCUUUAAUGCAGGCACAGGAUUGCAGGUGGAAGGAGAGAGACAAAAAUCAGAGGGGAAAGCCACACAGAAGAUGAAAAAAUGAUGAAUCCUACCCCAC
rnacentral:lncRNA from 1 species